rnacentral:misc_RNA from 1 species
GAUGAAGAACGCAGCGAAAUGCGAUAAGUAAUGUGAAUUGCAGAAUUUAGUGAAUCAUCGAAUCUUUGAACGCACAUUGCGCCCGCCAGUAUUCUGGCGGGCAUGCCUGUUCGAGCGUCAUUUCAACCAUCAAGCCCCGGGCUUGUGUUGGGGACCUGCGGCUGCCGCAGGCCCUGAAAUGCAGUGGCGGGCUCGCUGUCACUCCGAGCGUAGUAGUUACAUCUCGCUCUGGGCGUGCUGCGGGUUCCGGCCGUUAAAAGCCUUAUUUACCCAAGGUUGACCUCGGAUCAGGUAGGAAGACCCGCUGAACUUAAGCAUAUCAAUAAGCGGAGGA